rnacentral:lncRNA from 1 species
UAUUCCUUCUUAUAUGAUUCUAUUGAGUCGUAUAGGAACGCUUUCCUUUAUUACGCUCGAUACUUCGGCCGAAGGUUCCCGAAUCAUAUCUUAGAGUAUUCUUCCUCUCUUAUCGAGGAUUAGAGAUUCCUUGUUGCGCAUUCACUUGCCUUCAUGACUAAGUGGCUUAACCCCAAUUAUGCCGUGGACACCCACGAAUGGGGUGACUUUGACAUAAUCAAAGAUUAAGUACUUAGCCACAAGAC